GUCGAGAAUCUUUCACAAUGGGGGCAACCCUGAUGGAGCGACGCCGCGUGGAGGAUAAGGUCUUCGGAUUGUAAACUCCUGUCAUGCGUGAACAAGGUUGCUUGGUUAAUACCUGGGCAAAUUGAUGGUAACGCAAGAGGAAGAGACGGCUAACUCUGUGCCAGCAGCCGCGGUAAUACAGAGGUCUCAAGCGUUGUUCGGAAUCACUGGGCGUAAAGGGUGCGUAGGUGGCGUGGUGAGUCAGAUGUGAAAGCCCGGGGCUCAACCUCGGAACUGCAUCCGAUACUGCCAUGCUAGAGUACUGGAGAGGUGACUAGAAUUCUCGGUGUAGCAGUGAAAUGCGUAGAUAUCGAGAGGAAUACCAAAGGCGUAGGCAGGUCACUGGACAGUUACUGACACUGAGGCACGAAGGCCAGGGGAGCGAACGGGAUUAGAAACCCUGGUAGUCC
rnacentral:rRNA from 1 species